rnacentral:rRNA from 1 species
AGCGAACGCUGGCGGCAGGCCUAACACAUGCAAGUCGAGCGGCCGUAGCAAUACGGCAGCGGCAGACGGGAGAGUAACACGUGGGAACGCGCCCUUCGGUUCGGGAUAACUCAGGGAAACUUGAGCUGAUACCGGAUAUGCCCUUACGGGGAAAGAUUUAUUGCCGAAGGAACGGCCCGCGUCCGAUUAGCUUGUUGGUGAGGUAACGGCUCACCAAGGCGACGAUCGGUAGCUGGUCUGAGAGGAUGACCAGCCUCACUGGGACUGAGACACGGCCCAGACUCCUACGGGAGGCAGCAGUGGGGAAUAUUGGACAAUGGGCGCAAGCCUGAUCCAGCCAUGCCGCGUGGGUGAUGAAGGCCCUAGGGUUGUAAAGCCCUUUCGGCGGGGACGAUAAUGACGGUACCCGCAGAAGAAGCCCCGGCUAACUUCGUGCCAGCAGCCGCCGUAA